rnacentral:rRNA from 1 species
CCUACGGGAGGCUGCAGUGGGGAAUAUUGGACAAUGGGGGCAACCCUGAUCCAGCCAUGCCGCGUGUGUGAAGAAGGCCCUCGGGUUGUAAAGCACUUUCAGUGAGGAAGAACGCCUGGUGGUUAAUACCCAUCAGGAAAGACAUCACUCACAGAAGAAGCACUGGCUAACUCCGUGCCAGCAGCCGCGGUAAUACGGAGGGUGCGAGCGUUAAUCGGAAUUACUGGGCGUAAAGCGCGCGUAGGUGGCUUGAUAAGCCGGUUGUGAAAGCCCCGGGCUCAACCUGGGAACGGCAUCCGGAACUGUCAAGCUAGAGUGCAGGAGAGGAAGGUAGAAUUCCCGGUGUAGCGGUGAAAUGCGUAGAGAUCGGGAGGAAUACCAGUGGCGAAGGCGGCCUUCUGGACUGACACUGACACUGAGGUGCGAAAGCGUGGGUAGCAAACAGGAUUAGAUACCCCUGUAGUC